rnacentral:lncRNA from 1 species
GUAAGUUGAAAUUUUCUAUUAUUUUUCCAUUGCAUUAGAAAAUGGAAGAAGGAAAGUUGGUUGGAGUAAAAUUUAGAGGAAUAUGUAAGAUUAACCGAUGAAUCUAUUAUAUGAAAUUAGAAAACACUUGCUUGUUGAAGCUAUGAUCGUUAACCGAUUCUAAUUUCAUUAAGUAAAUGUGUUCUAAUUUCAUAUAUUAGAUCAUCGUUACAUAAGUAGUUUUGAACAAAGUGUGAUAUAAUCUUACGUACUGAUCCUUUGAUAUUUUUUACUUUCAUUAUCGUUACAUAAGUAGUUAUGAAGACUACAUUUUCAUCAAAUAUUCAUCUAAAACCUUAAAAUAUUAGAUAUAUAGAUUAUUUUGUUUAUAAUUUAUAUGUUGCUCAAUAUUUUUUUUUAACAAUAUUUCUUGUUAUAUAGUUUCUAACUUUAAUUAUUUUCAGCACAACAAAUAAUUGUUUAUCGGGAACGAAGUGUCAACCUCUUAAGGCAUUGUCACCAAGUAAGCAAACAUCAUCACCACCACCACCUCAACUUAUUUUAGGUGAUGAACCAGAUAUAAUUGGUUCACCACCACCACCACCUCGACUUAUUCUAGGUGAUGAACCAAAUAUAAUUGGUUCGCCGCCGCCACCACCCCAACUUAUUUUAGGAGAUGAUCCAAAUAUAAUUGAUUCACCACCUUUGCCAGAAUUUCGUUCAGGGGAUGCAUCAGUGGGAAAUGGAAGCUUGAAGAACAACAAACUAAACAUAUUAUUCAUACUAGCUGCACAAACUUUGCUACCA